GGCGGCGUAGCUCAGUUGGCUAGAGCGAGGGUCUCAUAAUCCCUAGGUCGUCCGUUCGAUCCGGACCGCCGCCA
rnacentral:tRNA from 1 species